AGGACGAACGCUGGCGGCGUGCUUAACACAUGCAAGUCGAACGAGGCGCUUGCGCCUAGUGGCGAACGGGUGAGUAACACGUGAGCAACCUGCCCUUGGCUCUGGGAUAGCCUCCGGAAACGGGGAUUAAUACCGGACAUGACCUUCUCCUGCAUGGGGGAGGGUGGAAAGUUUUUUCGGCCAGGGAGGGGCUCGCGGCCUAUCAGCUUGUUGGGGGGGUAACGGCCCACCAAGGCGACGACGGGUAGCC
rnacentral:rRNA from 1 species